CUGGAAAUGACAUAACUGAUAAAGGUGUUCUGAGACUGCACCAAGCCUUAGAUGAAAACAGUUUCACAAAGACCAUAUGCAUUUGUGACAACCAAGUAACAGAGAUGGGCCUCCUGGUGGAAGAAGCACGCUUUGAAACCCAACAUGCUGAUACAAGAAGAUGCAUCCACACACAGAAUUACAUUACAAAAGAUUUGAGAUCAAAAAGUGAGAUGGAAAAAUCAAUCAGUUCUUUUGUUAAGGUUUCAGUGGAAAACAGAAGGCCUUUUCAUGUGCAGCGCAACAGGGCUAGUGUUCGGAUUGAAAGGAAGUGGAUGUGUAGAGUACAGUGUGGCUCACUGGGAUGUGCGUCUCCUCAUCAACACUCACUAUGAGCCUGCUGGACCUCUGUUCGAUAUCAAAACCCCUACAGGAG
rnacentral:lncRNA from 1 species